rnacentral:rRNA from 1 species
AACGAACGCUGGCGGCAUGCCUAACACAUGCAAGUCGAACGAGACCUUCGGGUCUAGUGGCGCACGGGUGCGUAACGCGUGGGAACCUGCCCUUAGGUUCGGAAUAACUUCCCGAAAGGGAUGCUAAUACCGGAUAAUGUCUUCGGACCAAAGAUUUAUCGCCUUUGGAUGGGCCCGCGUAAGAUUAGGUAGUUGGUGGGGUAAUGGCCUACCAAGCCGACGAUCUUUAGCUGGUCUGAGAGGAUGAUCAGCCACACUGGGACUGAGACACGGCCCAGACUCCUACGGGAGGCAGCAGUGGGGAAUAUUGGACAAUGGGCGAAAGCCUGAUCCAGCAAUGCCGCGUGAGUGAUGAAGGCCUUAGGGUUGUAAAGCUCUUUUACCAGGGAUGAUAAUGACAGUACCUGGAGAAUAAGCUCCGGCUAACUCCGUGCCAGCCGCCGCAGUAA